ensembl:lncRNA
AAUACAUCUGUAGUUUAAUUAAUUUGCACAUCUUUUUUUUUUUUUUUUUUACUUACAGCGUCCCAACUUUUUUUGGAAAUGCUCUUGUACAGAUGAUUUAUUAUUUAUUUAUUACCCUUUUAGGUUAUACCUAAUACCAUCUGUAAUACUUUAUUACAUUAUUCAGAAGAGCAGAGUGUAUCGCUGUUAGCCUUCUGGUUGUGCCAAUGCUAUAAUUACUUUCAUCUAAUUUUUAUAAGACUUUUUGGUUUUUCCAGACUAGGCAAGGAACAGACUAACCAGAAACAGUCUUACAAGAAGUCAUAAACUUUACAUGAGCUCCCUCAGUGGUAGUGGCGCCUUUACUGGACUUAACUGGACCACAAUGAUGCUUUCUCAGCAGUGGCCUCCUACCCAAAACACAGGCGAGGUCCAGUCAGAGUGGAUGGUUUUGUUUACAGCUCUCUGACCAACAUUUUCAGAUGCGUAUACUGACCCCCCUGUCUGUGUGUAGGAGUGUUUCUCUGGGUCAGUAUCUGGGCAAAGGGCAGAAACUCCUGCUGGUUCUGCUCAGGCAUUUCGGAUGACUGCCGUGACGAGAUCACUUGACCGAGCUUCGAGACAACAAGGCUCUUCUAGAGGCUCAGUCGGUGCAGGUUCUGGUGGUUUCGUACGGUUCUCUGGAGGGGGCAGAGUUUUGGCUGGCUCAGACAGGCUAUGAGUUCGACAUGGUGUUUGACCCCGAGCGUAAGGUCUACCAGGCGUUCUCUCUGGGCUCCUCCUUCUCUAAAGUGAUGAACUUCAGCAACUUGCUACGCUACUCGGAAUACCACGUGACCAAGAGAAGCUUUCCUCAGGUGCCCCCGCAGUUUAUCCACGACCUUUUUCAGGUACGCGUUCACAUUCAGGACGUUCAGCUGCACAUAGAGCGCAAUUUAAACGCUACGCCAUAUGAGUAUGAUAGGAUUCCUGCAGGUGCCUAUAUCGGGUUGCAUAUCAGCCCUGGGUCUUUUCAGGAAUGCUACUCAUGCAAAGAGAACAGGUUCCAGUAA